UUUCUAUAUUGUGAAUUGAUGAUGUUUCUUUGUUAGCUUUACCCACAUUUCCUGAAUGUUUGGGCUUUGGUCCAUUCUGUUUCUCUAGAAGUGUCAUUAAUUGAUCUAUUGUAAACCACAAAUCAAAAAAAUAAUAAAAACAAAUAAACUAUCGCAGCAGAGCCGCAGAUGAAAUUGCAACGGAAAUGGAAAAAAAAUAAAGAAAUAAAUCGAAAAGUGCAAACCGAAAUUUCGUAUAGGCGAUCCACGAUUGCUUAAAUCGGUUGCAGUCCACGAUUUCCUUCACCAAAAGACUAUCGCGAUCUGGAUAUUAGAAUUUUCAUCCGUCUGCAAGCAACAAUCUGGAAGUGCGUAUGAAAUCGAAGAUCGGAGCAAACUGCAGCUACUGGGAUGAUCGGAGAUUUGGAACGAUCUGGAAGCGAACUGCGUUGGUCUGAAGCGAACUGCGUUGAUCAGAGAUCUGGAACGAUCAGAAGAUUCGCAAAAUGCGUUGGUCUGCAGCGAACUGUAAGCGCGUCUGUAAAACCCUGCUCUGCACACUGGGUUUUAAUUCUCAUCAAACAAUUAACAUAGAUUCCUCUCAAAGGAAAGUUCACAUUAUGAAGUACUACAACUACUUUGUGUUCGGGGACCUAAUACAAUCUUUAUUACAAAAAAAAAAUAGUCAAUGACACGACUACUUCGCGUCACCCCCUACGCCGACACCUUGACGAGUCCUUUAUCUCCUACCCCUGCAGUUAGGCAAGGUUGCCUCCAUUCCCUGCACAGGUCAUGUACCCGUGAGUGACUACAUCACUCAGCAUGUAAAGUAUAGGUUCCAACAAUUAAUAACAAUAGCAAUUAACAUAAUACAUGUAUAUAUAAUAUUCAAUCUGAUGAUACCAAUCAAUCAUCAUUCAUGCCCCUAAAAAGAUUGGACGGCAACAAGAUACUAGGGAAAUCACUAUAUACAGCAAUAAAAAGAAAUAGAUUAGCUCCUAUGCUAAUCUAACAUGCAUUCCGGUAGUACUUUUCAUCACCUAGAGUAAAACGAUAAGAGUAUAGACCCCUAAUAAAAUGGACAGCAAGGAUUUUAAAACACUAAGGCUGUAAAAACACUAAACAACAAUUUUAAAAUGGCAGCAAAUACAAUAUAGACAUUCAUAGCGUAGAGGUAGCAAUCCUUCAUCACUUAAAUUAACCAAUCUGAUACCGAUCUAUCGGAAUUCUAAUUUGAGGGAACGAGUUCACCUGAAAAGAUUGGGGCUUCAGAUUCGUAAUAGAGAUUACGAGUGUCCGAAGCUGAAAGCAGCGGGGUUAUACCCCUGAAAUUGAGGCUUAGCCUCCCUAGAGAUCGCUGUUAAGCUCUGUAGGGAAGGGCUCAACUCGGCGGGAGAUCCGGAGUUGUGGCGAAAGGAAGCAGCGUAUAGCAGACCACGGAGACGGUGAGGUGAUGGAUGAUAAUUGUACUCGACAGGAUCGUCGGAGGUGGUCUGGAAAUUGGAAGGGAGUGGAAGAGUUGUGAUCUAAUUUAUUUUUAUCAAAAAUGCCUGUUUAGAUUCCUUUUACAAGUUUACUUAAAUAGAAAAAUUUAAAAGGUGCAACUCUGACAUAUUAUUAUAACUUAAGGUCUUCUUCAUAAAAUUCCCAAUAAAUUGGGGUUCCGUUGAAUCAUCCCAUGAGAUAAUCCCUCAUCCAGCCAGGAGUGCUGCUCUUGCGGGUAGACAUCCGGCUUGGGCCGGGUUCAUGUUCGCUCAACUGUCUCCGCUCACAAUCUUCCCCAAGUCCGGCGAUUAGGUCAUCAUUCUCGUCCUCCGGCGAUGCUUCCCUUCUAAUGUUCUCGACGUCGGCGCAUACUUCUUGGAAAUCAAUUGGCCUCGCAUCAUCUCUCCGCCCUUGAAAACUAACAUUGUCCUCAAUGUUCACAGAAGGGAACGAUUUCCUCAAAUCAGUUUCUGAUUCCCACGAUGCAUCCUCUGGGAUUGUGCCGUGCCAUUUUACAAGUACCUGCUCUUUCUUUCUUCCUCCUUGAAAAAUAGUUCUUCUGUUUAGAAUUGAUAUUGGGUAUAUUAUUGGUUUGUUGUUGACAGAAAUGAUUGGUUGAUUUUGUGUAUUCUCCUCAGGUGGGUUUCCUUCGAAUUUUCUGAGCUUUGAUAUAUGGAAUGAAGGGUGUAUUUUGCUGCCUUCUGGCAGUUCUAAUCUGUAAGCAACUUCAUUGAUCUUCUUGCUGAUUUUAUAUGGCCCAAAGUAUUUUUUACAGAAUUUAUUGUGUAACCUGUGGGCAAUGGAUUCUUGCCUGUAUGGUUUGAGAUGAACUAAUACCCAUUCCCCUUCUUCAAAUUUCAGAUCUAUUCUGUUUUUAUCUGCUUGGUUUUUCAUUCUUGAUUGAGCUAGCAUUAGAUUCUUUUUAAUCGAGUCUAGUGUAGCUUCCCUGAUUUGUAAUUCCACCUCUACUGCUUGGAUAGUUGAUUCACCCUCUUUAUAAUGAGGAAUUUCAGUUGCUUCUUUACCAUAUAAUACUUUGAAAGGUGUCAUCCCUAAAGAAGAGUGAUAGCUAGAGUUGUACCAUAAUUCGGCCCAAGGUAGUAACUUCAACCACUUGUUAGGGUGCUCAUGGCAGUAGGACCUUAGAUACAUCUCUAAUGUUCUGUUCACAACCUCAGUUUGCCCAUCUGAUUGAGGGUGGUAAGCAGAAGAAAAAUUCAGUUUAGUGCCACUGAGAGUGUUUAGUUCCUUCCAGAAUUUAGAAGUGAAUACCCUAUCUCUGUCCGAUACUAUUGAGCUAGGGAUGCCAUGUAGUUUAACCACAUCUCUAGUAAAAAUUUCAGCUACUUUAGAAGCAUUAAAAUUGGAUGGCAAAGGGCUAAAAUGGGCAUAUUUUGAUAACCUAUCAACCACAACCAUUAUUACUGAUUUAUCUUUAGCUUUUGGGAGGUCGGUGAUGAAAUCCAUGCUGAUAUCUUGCCAAACAGUAGAUGGAAUAGGUAGUGGCAUAAGCAAUCCAGCAAUUUUUGUGUUGUUUGGUUUGAUUUGUUGGCAAGUGACACAUUCCUUCACAUAUUUUUUUAUACUCUCUCCCAUUUUUGGCCAAAAGAAGUGUUUAGCUAUUCUUUUCCACGUCCUAUGAAUUCCUGAGUGUCCACCCAUUUGAGAAUCAUGGAACUCGUAUAAUAUCUUCUUUAUGAAUUUAGAAUUUUCAUGCAAAUAAUAUUUGUUUUUGUAGAAUAAUAUUCCAUUUCUGACCAUAAAUCCAUUAGUCUCAUCUCCUUCUUCAAUAUGAUUGUUGAUGAGUAGUUGGAUGGCUGGAUUAUCUUUAUUUUCUUUCUUUAUAUCUUCUAGUAUGGAGUAAAUAGGUUUUGAUAAAGCUAAUAAUGAACCAGGUAUUCCCACUGAUUUUGAUGUGAAAAUAAUCUCCUCUUUAUCCUCUUCAAACCUUCUUGAUAGUGCAUCAGCUACAAUAUUUUCUUUCCCAGGUUUAUAAAUAAUGGAGAAAUUAAAUCCCAAUAACUUACAUAGAAAAACUUGUUGUUCUGGGGUCUGUAUGACUUGGGUGAGCAAGUUUUUUAAACUUUUAUGAUCGGUUUUGAUCACAAAAUGAGAGCCCAGCAAGUAAUGUCUCCAUUUACUCACAGCUUGAGUAAUGGCAUACAUUUCCUUCACGUAGAUGGAUGCUGCCAUAAUCCUUCCAGAUAGCUUGCGACUGAAGAAGCUGAUAGGAUGUGAUUUUUGGCUAAGAACAGCUCCUACUCCGUUCUUGCAUGCAUCUGUCUCGACUGUAAAUUCCAACUUGAAAUCUGGAAAUUGUAAAACAGGUGCUGUUGUCAUGACAGAUUUUAGUUUCUCAAAACUAAUAGAUGCUUCUUCUCCCCAAUUGAAGUUAUCUUUUUUCAGAAGGUCUGUCAUGGGUGCUGCAAUGGAAGCAUAGCCUUUGAUGAAUCUCCUAUAAUAUCCCGUAAGCCCUAAAAAUCCUCUUAGCAUUUUUAGAUUUUUAGGUCUUGGCCAAUCUAGCAUGGCUUUGAUCUUGUCUUGGUCAGGAUGGACUCCAUCUCCUGCAAUCACAUGACCUAAAAAUGUCAUAGAAUCUUUCCCAAAUGAGCAUUUGGAGAGUUUUACAAUAAGUUUGUUGGCCCUGAGUAGUUCAAAUACGCAUUUCAGAUGUUUGAUGUGGUCUAACAGUGAAGCACUAUACACUAAUAUAUCAUCAAAGAAGACUAUUACAAAUUUCCUCAAGUAUUGAGAGAAAACAGAGUUCAUGACUGAUUGAAAGGUAGCUGGGGCAUUAGUUAACCCGAAGGGCAUUACCAGAAACUCAAAGUGCCCUUGAUGUGUUCUGAAUGCAGUUCUUUCAGUGUGAUUCGGAUUUACUCUGAUCUGAUGAAAUCCUGAUCUCAAAUCCAGCUUUGAAUAAAUGUUAGACCCUUUCAAUUCUCCUAGCAGUUCAUCUACUGUAGGAAUUGGAUAUUUAUCCUUGAUAGUUAAGGCAUUUAAGGCCCUAUAAUCUACACAUAAUCGAUAACCACCAUCUUUUUUUUUUACCAAAAGAACCGGGGAUGAAUAAGGACUUGAACUUGGUUUUAUUAUUCCCUGUUUUAACAUUUCUGAAAUUAAUUUUUCCAUUUCAGAUUUUUGAAAUUGGGGGUAUCUAUAAGGCCUUACAUUGACAGGCUUAGAACCAGGUUCUAGAUGGAUAGAAUGGUUUCUUUCUCUUUGUGGUGGCAACCCACAAGGAUCUUCAAAUAAAUCACAGUUUUCUUGGAUGACAGAUGUGAUUUCUGGAAUUUUAUUUUCCAGAACUGUUCGUGUUUCACUGCCUUCAAUUCUGUCCAAAUAACAGAUAUAUGCUUCUUGAGUGGAUGCCCAUAAGCAUUUGAGCUGUCCCACUGACAAGGGAUCUUCAGAAACCCAAGGUAGACCUGUCCAAAUAACCUUCUUCUCUAGUAGUUUGAACUCCAUAAUGGAUUUGUCAAAAUCAAACGUGACUGGGCCAAAUGUUUUUAGAGCUUGCACCCCCACCACCAUAUUAGUGCCUGCCAUGUGAAUCAGAAAAAUGUCCAUAACUAUAGUGACAUCUUGUAUCUUGACUUCCACCUCUUUACACAUCUUAUUGCAAACUAACUUCUCUCCACUACCAGUUGAGACAUGGAAUGGAGUUAUCAUAUGAAUUGCUAGCUUUAGUGCCACUGCCACAUCUACCUGCAUGAAGUUAUGACUUGACCCUGAGUCAAUUAGAACACUCACUGACUGACAUUUAAUAUAGCCCAUAACUCUGAUAGUGCUGGAGCUAAUGUUUCCUUCAAAUGCGUGUAGGGAUAUUUCAGAUCUGCCCCUGUCCACAGUGUCCACUAUAAUAUCUUCAGUUUCCUCUUCGACUUCAUCUUGUUCAAUAAUUUCUACUAAUUCAACCUCAUCUGCUGAUAGUCUGAAGAGUUUCCCUUUUCUUCCAACACAUACACUGUUGUGAUUGGCACUGAAUUUUUCAUCACAGUUGAAGCAUAGCCCUUUGCUUCUUCUUUCAGCUCUCUCUACUGCAGAUAGCCUCUUGGUGGUUGGACCCACUUCAGUCACUACCGGGUUAGCUUGCUCUUGGGAGGGACCGAUUUUGUUUUGUCUAGGUUCUGAGUGAGAGACUAAUCUGGAUUGCUUUUGUAAAUAUGGUUUAUAUGUGGUUUUGCCUCCCUUUCUAGCUUCUAACAUCAGUGAAAUUUCAAAUGCCUCGUGUAUAUCUCCAGGUUUUGCUAGAAUAACAUCAGACUGUAUCUCUUCUUUUAAUCCUGAGAUGUACAUUUCUAGAAUAAAGUACUCCGGUAGUCCCAAUACUCUUGUGCAUAAUUCCUCAAAUUGGCCUUGGUAUUCUGCCACUGUGCCCUCCUGUAAUAACUUACUCAGCUUGCCACCAGGUAACUGAUAGUGUAGUGAAGUGAAUUUUCUUAUUACUGCAUUAACAAAAUUGGGCCAGUUAGAUAACAUAUGGCUUGCCUCUAGCCAAGCAAACCAUUUUCUUGCCAUUCCAUCGAGAUGAAAUGAUACUAUUAAUAAUUUCUGAUCUUCCGGAACUUUGUUGAAGAUGAAAUAUCUUCUCACAGCAUAUAACCAGUGUUCUGCAUCCUUCCCAUCAAACCUUGGCAUGUUUACCUUUAUAUGUUUUGCAGGAGUGUAGUUUGGGUCUUCAAGUACCCCAACUGCAUAACAAGGUUUAUCCAGGUUUACCACAGAUUGGUAGUAUGUUUGUGGUUGUUUGAUGAUAUUUGAUUGAUUAAAUUUCUCUAGAUCUGGUGGUUUUUCAGGAAUAUCCGGAACUAUAUCCGAAAUUUUAUUGCAUAAUUCAGAUACUUGCUUGCUUAUUUCCAUGAAAUUACUGUUUACUGUUGAUCUGAAUUCUCCCAUUUCUUUGAUCUGACUCAUUUGCAGUGUUUGCAAUCUGAUGAAAUCUGGAUGAGAUGCUAAAUCCAUUAUUUUCUGAAAUUAAGAGUCCAUACUUAAGAAAGCACCAAAUGAUACCGAUCUAUCGGAAUUCUAAUUUGAGGGAACGAGUUCACCUGAAAAGAUUGGGGCUUCAGAUUCGUAAUAGAGAUUACGAGUGUCCGAAGCUGAAAGCAGCGGGGUUAUACCCCUGAAAUUGAGGCUUAGCCUCCCUAGAGAUCGCUGUUAAGCUCUGUAGGGAAGGGCUCAACUCGGCGGGAGAUCCGGAGUUGUGGCGAAAGGAAGCAGCGUAUAGCAGACCACGGAGACGGUGAGGUGAUGGAUGAUAAUUGUACUCGACAGGAUCGUCGGAGGUGGUCUGGAAAUUGGAAGGGAGUGGAAGAGUUGUGAUCCAAUUUAUUUUUAUCAAAAAUGCCUGUUUAGAUUCCUUUUACAAGUUUACUUAAAUAGAAAAAUUUAAAAGGUGCAACUCUGACAUAUUAUUAUAACUUAAGGUCUUCUUCAUAAAAUUCCCAAUAAAUUGGGGUUCCGUUGAAUCAUCCCAUGAGAUAAUCCCUCAUCCAGCCAGGAGUGCUGCUCUUGCGGGUAGACAUCCGGCUUGGGCCGGGUUCAUGUUCGCUCAACUGUCUCCGCUCACAAUCUUCCCCAAGUCCGGCGAUUAGGUCAUCAUUCUCGUCCUCCGGCGAUGCUUCCCUUCUAAUGUUCUCGACGUCGGCGCAUACUUCUUGGAAAUCAAUUGGCCUCGCAUCAAACUCUCAUGGAGUUUUCAUUAUCAUUUCUUGUUUUAAUCCUUGCAUGAUUUAUUUCUUGCUUGAUUGUAUUUUAACAUUCACGUAUAACUAACUUAUAU
rnacentral:lncRNA from 1 species